UACGAAGGGGGCUAGCGUUGCUCGGAAUCACUGGGCGUAAAGCGUGCGUAGGCGGGUGUGUAAGUCAGGGGUGAAAUCCUGGAGCUCAACUCCAGAACUGCCUUUGAUACUGAAGAUCUUGAGUUCGGGAGAGGUGAGUGGAACUGCGAGUGUAGAGGUGAAAUUCGUAGAUAUUCGCAAGAACACCAGUGGCGAAGGCGGCUCACUGGCCCGAUACUGACGCUGAGGCACGAAAGCGUGGGGAGCAAACAGG
rnacentral:rRNA from 1 species